AUGUGUCGAAAAUGCACGACAUAACAUUUCCCACACCCCAAAAUAGAAACAUUUUCCAGACCCCCGGACAAUCAAGCCUCCCCAUUCGUUUGGGACUGGCUACGCCCCUAAAAAACACACUAGGAUGCUGCCGAUGAUCCUGAAUCGGUGAUGCGCGGAAACCGAACAUUACAAAUGUGACGGUUUGAGAAGAACUGCCAUUACGUAGUGUCCAAGAAAAUGGCCAAGACAAAUUUGCUCGUCCAUGACAACGCCAAUUUCAGUGGCAUUUAUGUAAUUAUUUUGCUUGAUUUAAUCAGUGCAAAUCGUUCUCGUUUAAUAACAAUAAUUAUAUUCUUGCAGCGAUAAAGAACGCAUUUAUUAUUAAUACAUGAAUCAUGCAUAACCACUCUAGAACAAUCACAAAUGUCAC